rnacentral:rRNA from 1 species
UACGGAGGAUGCGAGCGUUAUCCGGAUUUAUUGGGUUUAAAGGGUGCGUAGGCGGCACUUUAAGUCAGGGGUGAAAGACGGCAGCUUAACUGUCGCAGUGCCUUUGAUACUGCAGUGCUUGAAUGCGGUUGAAGACGGCGGAAUGAGACGAGUAGCGGUGAAAUGCAUAGAUAUGUCGCAGAACACCGAUUGCGAAGGCAGCUGUCUAAGCCGUUAUUGACGCUGAUGCACGAAAGCGUGGGGAUCGAACAGG